rnacentral:rRNA from 1 species
UACGAAGGGGGCUAGCGUUGUUCGGAUUUACUGGGCGUAAAGCGCACGUAGGCGGAUCGUUAAGUCGGGGGUGAAAUCCUGGAGCUCAACUCCAGAACUGCCUUCGAUACUGGCGAUCUUGAGUCCGGAAGAGGUGAGUGGAACUCCUAGUGUAGAGGUGGAAUUCGUAGAUAUUAGGAAGAACACCAGUGGCGAAGGCGGCUCGCUGGUCCGGUACUGACGCUGAGGUGCGAAAGCGUGGGGAGCAAACAGG